UACGGGGGGGGGUAAGCGUUGUUCGGAAUUACUGGGCGUAAAGGGCUCGUAGGCGGCCAACUAAGUCGGACGUGAAAUCCCUCAGCUUAACUGGGGAACUGCGUCCGAUACUGGAUGGCUUGGAUUCGGGAGAGGAAUGCGGAAUUCCAGGUGUAGCGGUGAAAUGCGUAGAUAUCUGGAGGAACACCGGUGGCGAAGGCGGCAUUCUGGACCGACAUUGACGCUGAGGAGCGAAAGCGUGGGGAGCGAACAGG
rnacentral:rRNA from 1 species